CUUGGUCAUUUAGAGGAAGUAAAAGUCGUAACAAGGUUUCCGUAGGUGAACCUGCGGAAGGAUCAUUAUUGAAUUAACUUGUUGGGUUGUAGCUGGCUCCUAGGAGCAUGUGCACACCCUUCAUCGUUUUUCCACCUGUGCACCUUUUGUAGUCCUGGAUACCUCUCGAGGCAACUCGGAUUGAGGGCUUGCAGUGCGAAAGCCGGCUUGCCCUUACAUUUCCAGGACUAUGUUUUCAUACACCCCAAUAGAAUGUUAUAGAAUGUCAUUUAUGGGCUUCACAGCCUUUAAACUUAUACAACUUUCAACAACGGAUCUCUUGGCUCUCGCAUCGAUGAAGAACGCAGCGAAAUGCGAUAAGUAAUGUGAAUUGCAGAAUUCAGUGAAUCAUCGAAUCUUUGAACGCACCUUGCGCCCCUUGGUAUUCCGAGGGGCACGCCUGUUUGAGUGUCAUUAAAUUCUCAACCUUGCCAGCUUUUACGAGUCGGCGUAGGCUUGGAUGUGGGGGUUGCCGGCUUCUUCAGAGGUCGGCUCUCCUUAAAUGCAUUAGCGGAACCUUUGUGGACCGUCUCUGGUGUGAUAAUUAUCUACGCCAUUGCCGUGAAGCAGCUUUACAUGGGGUUCAGCUCAUAACCGUCCAUUAAUUUGGACAACUCUUGACAUUUUGACCUCAAAUCAGGCGGGACUACCCGCUGAACUUAAGCAUAUCAAUAAGCGGAGGAA
rnacentral:rRNA from 1 species